rnacentral:misc_RNA from 1 species
CUUUUUUUUUUCUCGGCCAUCGUACAACGAAAAAAAAAAACAAUAAAGGUAUUCGACGGGUCCAAGUCACACCGGCUUUCGCUUCACAUACCAGCCCUGGUGCACGUUUCACUUUGUUUAGUUAUUUUUUUUUUGUUUUGCUGCUGCUGCUGCUGCUGUUGCACGCGUGACUGUGUGGAAUUCGGGUGUGUAUGUAUGGGAUUCUGUACCGGUGUACUUUCGCAUUGAUUGGCGCAGGCUGAUUGUGCUCCUCUUUGCUCCUCGUUUCUAGCUUCUUUCUGCUUUCUCUCUCCCCUCCCCUCGCGAUCGCUGCAGAACAUUAUCUCCCUGGACGAAUUUGUGUGUGCGUGUAUACGGUAUCUGCCGUCACCUGUCGCUGUCUUUGCAACGCCUCUUCUCCCUCUUCUCCUCCUUAGCUGAGCCGCUCUCCUUCCUGCCUACCUCCAACCCUCCUUGAGCUGGCCAUUAUUUCUUUUUGUGGGACUUCGCUGCAUUUGUGCCGUACGAGUCAGAGCACUUCUCUUGUGUGUGCGGUUGGUUGCUUUUUUUUCCUCGUCGUGUGCGUGUGGGUGUGAGGCCUUCUUCUUUUGGAUGUGUUACUUUGCGACGCAGAGUCGCUUGGGGUGAGAAGCUUGUGAACUUUACGACGCCAGACAGCAGAAAAGGUUUCUGCACGUCGGAGUCAGUACGUCCCACAUCUUGUCGUUUCGUCCGCCUUUAGUUUUUUUUUAUUCGUUGAGUGGAAAGGGUAGGUGGGUCCGCCUGUGUGCCGGAUCCAAAGGAAAAGGGGGAAAAGGUGCCAUCGUUUUCUUUUUUUUUGUGUCUGCCUCCACGCCGAUCACCGACGUGGUAAAACUUCUGUACCUUGUACAAGUUGUGUGCAUUGCCUCUUUUCGCAUCCCUUUUGCUCCUCCAUAUUUCAUUGUUGUACAGUCUCGUUCACUAGUAUUUGACCUCCUUCUCUCCUUCGUUUGCUUAGCACUCGCUCGUUGCGAUUCUCUCUCUCCCUGUCGGUUCAUAAUAUAUAUAUAGAUAUAUAGAUAUAUAGAUCUAUAUAUCUAUAUAUAUAUAUAUUCUGCGUAUAUGUGAGCCUGUCUGAUCGCUUGCGCGUGACAGUGCUUCAACUGGUCUUCGAAAAGUGUGUGCGCUUUCUGGCGCCCUCUAGCACACUGCCUUAUUUGCCAUUGUUGAGGUGCUGUUGGGGUGCUUUGUCUGUGCGUGUGCGCGCGCGGCAUCUGCACGGGAGAGCCACUGCGUGUGUCCACGUGCAGAUCAAACUUGUUGUUGAGGUAUGCGUGGACGGUUCUCCGCCCGUCUCUUUUCUUCUCUGCGCCACUCGGUUUUCGUAUCUCGUUGGGCAUCUGAACGGACUUGAGGUGGAGAGCGGGGAACUAUUUUUGAGCGGAGACUGCAGCACCAAGCAGCGACCAGUCCUCCGUCUCCCUACUCUCUCCUACCGAUUGUGUUGGGCUCCGUUUUGUCGGUGCUAAGCUGUUGUCUUCAGUGUACUGUAUUAUCUUUUGUCGCCCUAUUGUCUCCCCUCAGCCCGACCACGAGCUCGGUUCAUGAGCUCAUGAGAAGGGAAGAGAGACGCAUCUUUUCUCUUUUUUGGUCUCUUAGUGUGCGCAUUCAGCAUCGGCAUCGGCUUCCGUGCUCCUGCUAUCCGCUCCUUCUUUGGUGGUGACGCUGGGCAUUGUGCAUCAUUGCUCGCCUCCGCAAGAAUCCACUGCUCCAGGGUUUAUUGACCAUGAGUUCUGGAGACUUCAUGCUGGAGCUCCGCUACGCUGACUGUGAGGACCACCUAAAGAUGAACGGGUACUGUGUUCACCCACCAGUAAGUCAGGAAUGCAUCAACAACAAGGAUCGAAGCAGGAGCUGCAGCACCGACUGCAGCGACAGCGGUGUUGUGGAAGCCAGGGGAACCAUCGGCAGCGACGGUGCGGCGCAGCAGUGUUGCUCGCACCCUACAGCUCUUCUCCCGCCGUUCCAUAAGCCGCUGGUGGAGGACGACGUCGAGGACGACGACCGCAGCAGUGAUGGCAGCGACGACAUGGUGGCCAAAGCAGCGCUGGAGCAUUUUCUGAUGGGGAGCGCAAGUGGUCUCAUGGACUACUCAGCCCUGGAAACAGACGGCGCGGCGAACAACUGCAGCCUGAAAAGCUCGCCUCCGUCAUCGACUACAACCACUGAUAGCAGUGAAGGCAGUUUUCCAUGCGUCGACGAGGAGGUACUUGGCGAUUUGGGUGAUGUCAUCGGAUACGGUGGCGACCGUGGCUCAUUUGUGUGCUGCGUGCCACUCCCGCCACUGUCGCGCAUGUGGAAACAGGCGCCAAGCUUCGCCCGGGAACCGACAUUCCUGGAAGGCGUGCGCUGCUCGGAAGUGAAGAAGGCCUACAAGAAGUACCCGACGCACAUCUCCAAGGACGAGCUCUCGUUUGUGUCAACGGCGUACCGAUGCGCCCGCCACCGCGAGCGUUGCCAGAGCAGCAGCAGUCCCUUUCUGACGCCGGAGGAGGCCCACUACGCUGCUUUGCACCUGGUCUUACCCGACGCGGUCGUGCUAGCACGUGGCGAAAAGGUCGGACUGCUGAUGCCGCUCUACAACUGCAGCCUCAAGGAGUAUCUGCAGAGCCUGGCAAAUCCCGCAUCUUCACCGGCCGCUGCCUCAAACAUGCCGGCUUCGCUGACCGUGUCGCACAACGCGAACCUGCACGCCGAGGACGCCGACAGCAGCACUGCACUCUGCAAUCCACAAAGCAGCACGUUUCGCUCCACUGCAACCUAUCGACCAAUUGAGUCUAUUCCAGUGAUCUCCGCAAUCGUCUUUCAAAUGCUCGAGGCGGUGGCCUUUCUGAAUCACCGUCUCCCUCACGGCGACGGCUCCACUGGGUACACCCAUAACGACCUCCACCUGGACAACAUUCUGCUCUCCUACGACGGCGAUGUGGCCCUCUGCGACUUUGAGCUUGUCGCGUCCACGCCCACACCGUCGCGCAGCAUGGAUGUCCGCCGUUUACCGCCGUCCUCGCGGCAGUCGCCGCACGGUCUUUUCAGCGAAACAGCCGACACGUGGGCCUUUGGGCUGAUGGUGGUGAGCCUGCUCACAGGUGUGGAUCCGCUGUUCACCUCGGACAUUGUGAAUGAUUUCAGCGAUGGCCCGCUGCUCUUUCGCUGGGACCGCAGCACGCGGGUGCUGGACUGGGAGGCCAACAUCAAGGCACACGUAGAGCUCCUGCUUCGACGGCAGGAUUCCACCGGGAAGCGGCUAGAGGAGGCACGCCACCUCCUGCAACUGUGUGGUAAAUGCUUGGUCAACCGCGAAGGUGCCGAGCCGUUGCGUGCCGUGUCCCUGCUCGAGGAGGCGAUGUUCCUCCCUUACCGUCGCGACUUUAGCCUCGCCACGCGUACCGUGAAGGAGUGGAUCAGCCGCACGCGCCGGGUGUAACUCCAAAGGUGACAAGAGCACGAACCGAAAUGCGAAAUACAAACGAAGAACCCCUCACGCACGCAUACAAGCACGUAGCGACGCCUCGCACACGUGACUUGUAAGCGAAUGCAUGUCAUUUUCCUGUUUUCUUCGCUACGUCUGCAGCGAUCCUAUCAAGAAGGUGUUGUGAGACGGCUUCUCCGUAUGUAUCGGAGUAGGUGAGUGGGGCGGAGAGCGGUGGGCGCGUGUGGCUCUUGGGUUCACUCCCGCCCUCCACCUCUCUGUGUCUCUCCCCCCCCACUCCUCGAUGCCUUCGUGUUGUGGCCGUUUCGCUGUUCAUCUUUGAAGCUUUCUCACGUGCGCCUUCGAAUGUUUGUUUCCGUUUGCUGUCAUCUCUCACAGGGCUGCCCCAUCUGCCGCUCCGCAGUUCCCCGGCGCUUCCCUCUUUGCAUCCUUUCCAUGGCUGUCAUACGUCACUUAUGUCCCUGUGCGGUGUACGUCAGUGGCGCGAUACGUCUCGGGUAGCGCUGUCGUGAAAGUUGCUAGUGAGGGAAUGGGAAAGAGGUGGGAUUGGAGUUGCGCGUAGAAGGCAUGCGUCUUGACGAUACAUGUGCGUACAAGCAGAAAAACAACAAAAAAGCAGCUGAGCCCACCUCCCUCGUGUGCUGCUGAUGCUCCUCUUCCUUUCUCCUGGUCCAUGGUUGUUCUUUGCUCUUUCUAUUUGCCUCUUUCGUGGUUUUCUUCGUUGUUUGUGCGAUGUUAGGGAAUUUGUAGACGACACCACAAUCGCGUUGAUCUGGUCGGUAUGAUGGUAAUUUACGCUGUUUUCUGCUUCGUCUUGUUUUCGCCUUCAAGGCCUUUGCUCCUCCCCCCCCACCCACCCUCCUCUCUCUUCUUGUGGUGGCGUCAGAGCUUUACUGUUUUUGCUCCCGUUUCCCCCUUUUUUUUCUCUUGUUAGGACGACGUCUAGAAGCUGAUGCGAGUGUGUGAGGGUGGCAUUGGCCGACAGUGGGGUGAGUGCCAGCCUCUGCAUUGAGGCGUGCAGGUGCGUGUAUUUGUUGUUCACGUCCUAAACGCUCUCUGUAGCCGCCCUCCAAAAGGCGACCGCUGGCGCCGGCGAGUUUACGUUAUAAAUCGAACGCUCGAUUCUCCUUGCCUUUCUCCCUCUCUUUGUUUGUUGACUGUGUCUUGGAGGGGUUCUCCAUGUGUCUCCAUGCUCCCGCCAAGCAUCCCCUCGCGGACGAGAAGCUGGUGAUGCUCCGCUUCUCGUUAUGCAAGUGUUGUUAGACCUGCGAUGGUAGACUGCGUGUGUAAAGCAAGGCACUGUGGCAUGUUUUUCGUCUCACAGCUGCAGUGCCGUCAAUGUGGCGGCACAACGUCAAGACAUCGCAGCAAGCGACAAACGCUGGUCGCGCGCACACCCUCUGCCAUGUGUGCUUGCUUGUGUGCGCGUGUGUGUGGAAGGGUGAUCAGCUUGUGGUUGUUUUUCGUUCACCUAUUCGCUGUGAAGUGCGCACAAAGACCUGCGCGCACCGAUGGACUUCGUCUCGUCGAAGAACCAGAGUGUUUGGACGCGGGCGGGGCGGGGGGGGGGCGCGCACCGCACAAACUGCCGGUACCAAUGGAGUGAAGUGCACACAAAAGUGAGCAAGGCGCGGUGUUGCAGUGGUGUUGGUGUUUAAGUGGAGGCGGCAUUCUUGCCAUGGUAUGAGCAGGCGUGUACGGCACGUGCAGAAAGCAGGCAGGAGCGACAGAUACAUAUAUAUAUAUAUAUAUAUUGUCUGUGUGUGUGCUCGCUUUUCGUGGGUCUCGCUUUUUGAUGCACAAGGUGUUCACGUCUGCUGCGUGUCUGCGCGCUCUCCAGCGACCUCGGCUUUCAUCCGUUCUCUCUCUUUUGUUUCUGGGGUGCUGGAGGCAGCGUACGGGGCUUUGCCUGUGAGCUCGGCAGUGACUACAGUCGGUUGCACUAACGAACCAUUUUUAAUGCCGUUCAUCUUGUACACCGACUCCUCCGUGACAGCGAUGGUGCAGCCAGUUAGUGUGAGAAGAGAAAC